rnacentral:rRNA from 1 species
CCUACGGGAGGCAGCAGUGGGGAAUAUUGGGCAAUGGGCGAAAGCCUGACCCAGCAACGCCGCGUGAGUGAAGAAGGCUUUCGGGUUGUAAAGCUCUGUUAUAGGGGACGAAGGAAGUGACGGUACCCUAUAAGGAAGCCCCGGCUAACUACGUGCCAGCAGCCGCGGUAAU